GACGUAGGGCGCAAGCGUUGUCCGGAUUUAUUGGGCGUAAAGAGCUCGUAGGCGGCUCGUUGCGUCGGCUGUGAAAACCCGCAGCUCAACUGUGGGCUUGCAGCCGAUACGGGCGGGCUGGAGUUCGGUAGGGGAGACUGGAAUUCCCGUGGUGAGCGGUGAAAUGCGCAGAUAUCAGGAGGAACACCCGGUGGCGAAAGGCGG
rnacentral:rRNA from 1 species